rnacentral:lncRNA from 1 species
AGUUGAGUGCAGCUACUUGGCCCCUGUCAUCCUGGGAUCCAAUUACUCCCACUGCUUUUGGACUUUCCAGUUGAGUGACUGCAUUUCCACUGUAAAGUCUGGCCUACGGAGAAGAGUAAUCACAAUGCUCAUCAAGGAUGCUGGAGCUCCCGUCACAAACUUUUUUCUCAAAGUAUUGGUGAAAGGCAGAGGGAACUGCAUGUGCCAAAGCCUUUCAGUUAAAUUAGGUUGGUGCACUACGUGACUUAAGAUAGGACC